GAACUGCUGAGGAGUCCCACAAUAGGACGAAACGGUAGUCCAGUGC
rnacentral:hammerhead_ribozyme from 1 species